GACGAACCGAGCGAACGUUAUUCGGAAUCACUGGGCUUAAAGGGGCGCGUAGGCGGGCGAUCAAGUCAGGGGUGAAAGCCCCCAGCUCAACUGGGGAAGUGCCUUUGAUACUGGUCGUCUCGAGGGGGAUAGGGGCGUGCGGAACUUCCGGUGGAGCGGUGAAAUGCGUAGAUAUCGGAAGGAACACCGGUGGCGAAAGCGGCGCGUUGGAUCCCUUCUGACGCUGAGGCGCGAAAGCCAGGGGAGCGAACGGG
rnacentral:rRNA from 1 species